ACUUCGGGAUAAGCCUGGRAAACUGGGUCUAWUACCGGAUAUGACCUGCUGUCKCAUGGCGGUGGGUGGAAAGAUUUWUCGGUGCKAGAUGGGCCCGCGGCCUAUCARCUUGUUGGUGGGGUAAUGGCCUACCAAGGCGACGACGGGUAGCCGACCUGAGAGGGUGACCGGCCACACUGGGACUGAGACACGGCCCARACUCCUACGGGAGGCAGCAGKGGGGAAUAUUGCACAAUGGGCRAAAGCCUGAUGCAGCGACSCCGCGUGAGGGAUGACGGCCUUCGGGUUGUAAACCUCUUUCGACAGGGACGAAGCGCAAGUGACGGUACCUGUAGAAGAAGCACCGGCCAACUACGUGCCAGCAGCCGCGGUAAUACGUAGGGUGCGAGCGUUGUCCGGAAUUACUGGGCGUAAAGAGCUUGUAGGCGGUUUGUCGCGUCGUCUGUGAAAACUCACAGCUCAACUGUGAGCUUGCAGGCGAUACGGGCAGACUUGAGUACUUCAGGGGAGACUGGAAUUCCUGGUGUAGCGGUGAAAUGCGCAGAUAUCAGGAGGAACACCGGUGGCGAAGGCGGGUCUCUGGGAAGUAACUGACGCUGAGAAGCGAAAGCGUGGGUAGCGAACAGGAUUAGAUACCCUGGUAGUCCACGCCGUAAACGGUGGGUACUAGGUGUGGGUUUCCUUCCACGGGAUCCGUGCCGUAGCUAACGCAUUAAGUACCCCGCCUGGGGAGUACGGCCGCAAGGCUAAAACUCAAAGGAAUUGACGGGGGCCCGCACAAGCGGCGGAGCAUGU
rnacentral:rRNA from 1 species